UUGCCAUCGACAAAACAGUGGGUACUCCAAUUCUCCAAGUGCUCCAUCUCAAGUUGUUGGUUGUGAUGGUUAACAGGAUCGAAGAAGCAACAGGGUUUUCAGCUGAGACUGUUAGCCUAAAUAUAAUCUUGUCAUGGUGUGACCUGCAUACGUAGGUUGUGUGCUUGCUGUGUGUGAGAACAGGGCACAUGAGUUGUGUGCAGCUGUCUUCAAGUUGGCUUUGACUAGCAGUCUCCAAGUUGGAUUUGACUAGUAGAAGCCAACUAGACAUUAGUUGUCUAGGUCGGUUAUUGUAGCACCGACUUAAAGCCUCUAUAUAAGGAGAGGCACCCCAUAUGGAGAGUAAGUUGUAAGCCAAGAUGUAGCAUAUGUUGCUAUAUAAUAGUGAAAGAGCAUUUGUUGCUCAAGCAAGUUUCUCCCCUGUUCUCCUUGCUCAUGUGUGUGUCCACUAAGAAUGAGCUGAGAGAUUGAGAGAAGGCUGCACCCAACAUUUAGUAUGGGUAGGAGCUAACAAUUGGUAUCAGAGCCUCAUGGUUCGGGGCCAUGGCAAGCGGUGAGUCUGCGGCGACAUGGAGGCGCACGGCGGCAUGGAGGCGCUGCACAGCAGUAUGGAGGCUGCGGCGGCCGUGGCGCAGCGGCCUCAUACCAGCACUAGAGCACCGGGUUGGGAGAUGUCAGGCGAUCGUCGAAAAGCCGCGACACCACCACCUCUCUAGCAGCGGCGUGCGUCCGCAACCCCUCCUCCGGCAAACGAGCGACGGCGAUCGCCAAGUCGGGGACGGAGCAGGGUGCGACACGGCGGGGGCGAGGUCGUGGUACAGCGGGAGGUGAUCCGCGAGAUGACUAGCGGCGGAGGCGGCGGUACGAGCCUCGUCUUCCCGAUGCUCAAGCACGGAGACUACACCAACUGGGCCAUGGUGAUGGAGGUGAACCUGCAGGCGGCAUCGCUCUGGGACGCAAUCGAGGACGCCGCAGUCUCAGCAAGAGGACAAGCAGGCCUUGGCGGCACUGCUCCGCAUCUAGGUUGUACGUGGCCAUGGCGGGUGUUCCGGGUGGAGGCUUGAGAGGCAACGACGAUGGUGGUGACCAAGGUUUGGUUGCGGCAAGGUCAUGUUAGUUGGCUCCGUUCCGGCGUGUCUGAAUGUCUUCGUGGUGGUCUCCUCUUGCUGCGAAGUCGAAGCUGCCCUAGGGCGGUGUACGAUGACCUUCGAGGGGCGGUCCGGUGAAGGCCUUUUUCGGCACUUGUCUUGCGCAUCCCCUCUCCGAGGCUCGUCUUCAGAAUCGGAGCUGCCGGUCUCUCCUCGAAGAGCCAUCUGUUUGGCAUAGGCCGACUUGAGCUUCUUAGCUUUUGUGGGUAGCCAGGGUGGCUAGGUGUGCCCAUGGCGGGUGUGCCCAGCUUGUAUGUAUCCGGUCCACGUCGUGCGUCUGAGCGCGUUGGUGAUCUGUUGAAGGCCUGCGGCGUUGUGCGUGUUGGAGCGCGUUGUGCGUGCGGCCGGUAUGUGCGGAUCAAGCAGCCAAGUGCGCGUCUCAAGAUGAAGUGGCAGGAAGAAGUUGCGGCGUUGGUCGCCGUUGAACAAGGAGAUCCUGGAGACAAGGAAGAAGAUGACAAGAUUAGGGGGGUGAUUGUUAGCCUAAAUAUAAUCUUGUCAUGGUGUGACCUGCAUACGUAGGUUGAGUGCAGGCUGUAGUGUGAAUAGCACACGUAGGUUGUGUGCUUGCUGUGUGUGAGAACAGGGCACAUGAGUUGUGUGCAGCUGUCUUCAAGUUGGCUUUGACUAGCAGUCUCCAAGUUGGAUUUGACUAGUAGAAGCCAACUAGACAUUAGUUGUCUAGGUCGGUUAUUGUAGCACCGACUUAAAGCCUCUAUAUAAGGAGAGGCACCCCAUAUGGAGAGUAAGUUGUAAGCCAAGAUGUAGCAUAUGUUGCUAUAUAAUAGUGAAAGAGCAUUUGUUGCUCAA